UACGUAGGGGGCUAGCGUUGUCCGGAAUCAUUGGGCGUAAAGCGCGUGUAGGCGGUCCGGUAAGUCCGCUGUGAAAGUCGGGGGCUCAACCCUCGGAUGCCGGUGGAUACUGUCGGGCUUGAGUACGGAAGAGGCGAGUGGAAUUCCUGGUGUAGCGGUGAAAUGCGCAGAUAUCAGGAGGAACACCGAUGGCGAAGGCGGAGACCUGGGCCGAUACUGACGCUGAGGUGCGAAAGCGUGGGGAGCAAACAGG
rnacentral:rRNA from 1 species